rnacentral:rRNA from 1 species
AGCGAACGCUGGCGGCAGGCCUAACACAUGCAAGUCGAACGAAGUCUUCGGACUUAGUGGCGGACGGGUGAGUAACACGUGGGAACGUACCUUUUGGUUCGGAACAACUCAGGGAAACUUGAGCUAAUACCGGAUGAGCCCUUAGGGGAAGAUUUAUCGCCGAAAGAGCGGCCCGCGUUAGAUUAGCUAGUUGGUGAGGUAAAGGCUCACCAAGGCUACGAUCUAUAGCUGGUCUGAGAGGAUGGUCAGCCACACUGGGACUGAGACACGGCCCAGACUCCUACGGGAGGCAGCAGUGGGGAAUCUUGCGCAAUGGGCGAAAGCCUGACGCAGCCAUGCCGCGUGAAUGAUGAAGGUCUUAGGAUUGUAAAAUUCUUUUACCAGGGACGAUAAUGACGGUACCUGGAGAAAAAGCCCCGGCUAACUUCGUGCCAGCCGCCGCAGUAAUAC